GUAUUCACGCUGGCCACACAUAUACUAACAUUGGAAUGAUACAGAGAAGAUUAGCAUGCCCCGCUGUGCAAGGAUGGCACACCAAUUCGUGAAGCGUUCCAUAUUUUU